AAUCAACGCUGGCGGCGUGCCUCAGACAUGCAAGUCGAACGAUUAAAGCUCUCUUCGGAGAGUGUAUAGAGUGACGCACGGGUGAGUAACACGUAAGUAAUCUACCCUCGAGUGGGGAAUAACGUCCGGAAACGGACGCUAAUACCGCAUAAUGCAGCGGCACCGCAAGGUGACAGUUGUUAAAGGAGAAAUUCGCUUGAGGAGGAGCUUGCGGCAGAUUAGCUUGUUGGUAAGGUAACGGCUUACCAAGGCUACGAUCUGUAACCGGUCUUAGAGGACGGUCGGUCACACUGACACUGAAUAACGGGUCAGACUCCUACGGGAGGCAGCAGUCGGGAAUUUUGGGCAAUGGGCGAAAGCCUGACCCAGCAACGCCGCGUGAAGGAUGAAGUAUUUCGGUAUGUAAACUUCGAAAGAAUAGGAAGAAUAAAUGACGGUACUAUUUAUAAGGUCCGGCUAACUACGUGCCAGCAGCCGCAGU
rnacentral:rRNA from 1 species